GGGAUAGUGGCCUCCUUCCUGGUGUAUCUUGGACAAAGCGGCAGUCAUUCUUCAUCCUUGCGGCACAGAUGGUGUGUGAAUUAAGGAGAGGGUAUCCAACUUUAAAUUCUGGUACUUUUUCAAUGAAAUACAGGAUUAACACAGUUGUACCGAAUAUUAGAGGAUUUACAACAGCAUUCCGGUGUUCUUCAACAAGUGUCCUGAACCCAGCGACGAAAUGUACAUUUCUUCAAUAGGAGCUAACGAGAAGAAACCGACCAAAAGGAUGGAACAUUCCAGAAUGAUUUCCUUUUAACGAUUAAUAUUUCUCCAGAAUGAUUUCCUUUUAACCAUUAAUAUUUUCUCUAUAAUAUAAAAAAAAAGUAACGUCAGCAAAAUUGCGAAAUGAUGCUUGUGGCGUGCCUGCGUCAUGAAGAUCCAUAGCAUCUGCAGCUUUGAAAUUUUGCACAA